rnacentral:rRNA from 1 species
GAUGAACGCUGGCGGCGUGCCUAAUACAUGCAAGUCGAGCGAACGGACGAGAAGCUUGCUUCUCUGAUGUUAGCGGCGGACGGGUGAGUAACACGUGGAUAACCUACCUAUAAGACUGGGAUAACUUCGGGAAACCGGAGCUAAUACCGGAUAAUAUAUUGAACCGCAUGGUUCAAAAGUGAAAGACGGUCUUGCUGUCACUUAUAGAUGGAUCCGCGCUGCAUUAGCUAGUUGGUAAGGUAACGGCUUACCAAGGCAACGAUGCAUAGCCGACCUGAGAGAGUGAUCGGCCACACUUGAACUGAGACACGGUCCAGACUCCUGCGGGAGGCAGCAGUAGGGAAUCUUCCGCAAUGGGCGAAAGCCUGACGGAGCAACGCCGCGUGAGUGAUGAAGGUCUUCGGAUCGUAAAACUCUGUUAUUAGUGAAGAACAUAUGUGUAAGUAACUGUGCACAUCUUGACGGUACCUAAUCAGAAAGCCACGGCUAACUACGUG